GUCAUCCCCUCUGAAUUGUUUAACGGUUUGAUCUAAAUAAAAGCAAUGCAAUUUCAUCUUAAUGAAUGUCUACAAUUGGUUCAUGUGAUAGCACAGACUAUACGGAGAGAGAUGAACUUGAAGAAGCGAGGAGACACCCCGAGUUGCAAUAUUUCGGUCUGAGCACCAUAAUAGCAGCCACAGAUAACUUCUCACCCAUUAACAAACUCGGCCAAGGGGGUUUUGGCAUUGUUUAUUAGGGCCACUUGCCAAAUGGUCAGAUUAUUGCUGUAAAAUAUGUAGAUUGCACUUGAACAAGAAGAUUGAGAAACAGAAGGUUGGAGGACUAGAUGAUCAAGCAUUGACUUAUUUUUAAAGAAAAGGAUAUUGACUAUAAUAUUCACUUAGUCAGUUCUCUGUAUUAUCCUUUCUUCAACAGGGGUUGAGAACAAUAUUUAAUAUGUAGGUUGAAUUGAUUGAAUAUUUGGUUUUGUUGGUUGAAAAGUUUAAUAUCGUUUAUUUGUAUGCUCUGAUCUUUGGUUGACGCUGUUAUGUGGAAAAGACCCCUUAUAAAAGAUUAGAGAUGUAACUGGUACUUUGUCUAUAUUCCUGUAAUUUGAUUGUAUAUUGUUUUAUUUACUUUUGUAGGUUAGAGUUUUUAAUUUUUAUGGGUUUAUUGAAUGCGUAAUUCUCUAAGCAUUCGAAAAGUAAACAAAUAACAGAAGGACCUCCAUACAUUCAUGAGCAUCACUUUUAUUUAGUGGAUUACAAUGAAUUGUUAUCUCACGUAGAUAAAGUUGAAAUUCUCAUAGAUAUUGUGGGACGCAUCACAUCAGUGCAACCAGACAGUUUUGAAUCCCGCAGCAUUGCGCGGGCUUCACUGCUUGUGAUUUACUAAAGUGGCCGACAGAUGGACCCCUCAGCUGGCAGGGUACCAGUUGCAAAACGGUAACAUUUUAAGGGACUACGAGCCGUUUUAUUUUUGGGCCAUUGGUUUUUGGGCCAUUGGUGAUCAACGGUCUAGGUUAAAAUCUUUUUUUGUUUUGCAAUCUUUAGAUUUUGAUCUGAUUGUUCAUAUUUUUUUUUUCAAAUCUAAUUGUAAAAAAAAUCCAACUGCUGAAAUUUAAAUUAAAUGUCAAAAUAAUAAAAUA